GACGGCCGGCAGAUCAGUCAACGGAAAAAUGUUGCCGCCGGAGCUUCAUACUCGGUCUUUCCGUCCAUACAUAUCUGCUUCUACUAGUGCACCUUCUCUUUCCACCUCAUUCGAUGGCGUUUACAGUCCCGAACGGAACCCUAACUCCGUUAAUAGUAGAUCUCUGAGGAAUUCUCGAUUCUCACCGACGACGUUCGUUCACAACGCAAGAAUCGCUGUCGCGUUGGUUCCUUGUGCCGGUUUUCUCCUUGACCUUGGUGGUACUCCGGUUGUUGCUACACUUAUGUUAGGGCUUAUGGUAGCUUAUAUCCUUGAUUCUCUGAGUUUCAAGUCUGGUUCCUUCUUCGCUGUUUGGUUUUCACUCAUUGCUUCGCAAUUUGCUUUCUUCUUCAGCUCGUCCUUGUUUUCGGGG
rnacentral:misc_RNA from 1 species